UACACAUGCAUUUUCAUUAGGUUGUUUGGG
rnacentral:piRNA from 1 species